CCCUUAGAUGUUCUGGGCCGCACGCGCGCUACACUGAUGCGAUCAACAAGUUUUUCCUAUGUCGAUAGACGCGGGUAAUCUUUUGAACUCGCAUCGUGAUGGGGAUAGAUUAUUGUAAUUAUUAAUCUUCAACGAGGAAUUCCUAGUAGGUGCAAAUCAUCAGUUUGCAUCGAUUACGUCCCUGCCCUUUGUACACACCGCCCGUCGCUGCUACCGAUUGGUUGAUCUGGUGAAUUAUUCGGACUGCCGGCUGAAGGGGUUUCCUCAUCUGCCAGCGGAAAGUCUUGUUAACCCUAUCAACUAGAGGAAGCAGAAGUCGUAACA
rnacentral:rRNA from 1 species